rnacentral:rRNA from 1 species
CAGGCUUAACACAUGCAAGUCGAGGGGCAGCAUGGUCUUAGCUUGCUAAGACUGAUGGCGACCGGCGCACGGGUGAGUAACACGUAUCCAACCUGCCGUCUACUCUUGGACAGCCUUCUGAAAGGAAGAUUAAUACAAGAUGGCAUCAUGAGUCCGCAUGUUCACAUGAUUAAAGGUAUUCCGGUAGACGAUGGGGAUGCGUUCCAUUAGAUAGUAGGCGGGGUAACGGCCCACCUAGUCUUCGAUGGAUAGGGGUUCUGAGAGGAAGAUCCCCCACAUUGGAACUGAGACACGGUCCAAACUCCUACGGGAGGCAGCAGUGAGGAAUAUUGGUCAAUGGGCGAGAGCCUGAACCAGCCAAGUAGCGUGAAGGAUGACUGCCCUAUGGGUUGUAAACUUCUUUUAUAAAGGAAUAAAGUCGGGUAUGGAUACCCGUUUGCAUGUACUUUAUGAAUAAGGAUCGGCUGACUCCGUGCCAGCAGCCGCGGUAAUACGGAGGAUCCGAGCGUUAUCCGGAUUUAUUGGGUUUAAAGGGAGCGUAGAUGGAUGUUUAAGUCAGUUGUGAAAGUUUGCGGCUCAACCGUAAAAUUGCAGUUGAUACUGGAUAUCUUGAGUGCAGUUGAGGCAGGCGGAAUUCGUGGUGUAGCGGUGAAAUGCUUAGAUAUCACGAAGAACUCCGAUUGCGAAGGCAGCCUGCUAAGCUG